CAGAAAGUAAACGCUGGCCAGACCGCCCCCAGCACGUAGAGGGAAUGAGUCAGGCUCCGGCUCCACGCAGGCAUGUAGGGGCGGAUCGCGCCGGCGCUGAGUAGGAAGGAGCUUCAGCCGCCAGCCCGGAACGCAUCAUAGGUUAGCUUUUCAAGACACUUCCUGCAUCUCUGACCUGUUGCACCUCUGUUAUCUUGGCACCUCUGUUAUCUUAGCAGCAAGCACCUGCUUCAGCUGACCCUUGAGUCAUAACCCAUAAGCUCCUGAAAAGUACAUCAAGUCUAAAGUGAACCAGCUA
rnacentral:lncRNA from 1 species